rnacentral:rRNA from 1 species
GUACUGCCUUAGACCCCGGGAAACUGGGGAUAAUUCCGGAUAGUUCAUGGUAGCUGGAAUGCUCCAUGAUCGAAAGUUAUUGCGCCUAAGGAUGGGUCUGCGGUCUAUCAGGUAGUAGUGGGUGUAAUGUACCUACUAGCCGACGACGGAUACGGGUUGUGGGAGCAAGAGCCCGGAGAUGGAUUCUGAGACAUGAAUCCAGGCCCUACGGGGCGCAGCAGGCGCGAAAACUUUACAAUGCGGGAAACCGCGAUAAGGGGACACCGAGUGCCAGCAUCUUAUGUUGGCUGUCCGCAUGUAUAAAUCACAUGUGUUAGCAAGGGCCGGGCAAGACCGGUGCCAGCCGCCGCGGUAACACCGGCGGCUCGAGUGGUGGCCACUAUUAUUGGGUCUAAAGGGUCCGUAGCCGGUUUGGUCAGUCUUCCGGGAAAUCUGACGGCUUAACCGUUAGGCUUUCGGGAGAUACUACCAGGCUUGAGACCGGGAGAGGUAAGAGGUACUACGGGGGUAGGAGUGAAAUCUUGUAAUCCUCGUGGGACCACCAGUGGCGAAGGCGUCUUACCAGAACGGGUCCGACGGUGAGGGACGAAAGCUGGGGGCACGAACCGGAUUAGAUACCCGGGUAGUCCCAGCCGUAAACUAUGCUCGCUAGGUGUCAGGGACGGUGCGACCGUUUCUGGUGCCGCAGGGAAGCCGUGAAGCGAGCCACCUGGGAAGUACGGUCGCAAGGCUGAAACUUAAAGGAAUUGGCGGGGGAGCACUACAACGGGUGGAGCCUGCGGUUUAAUUGGACUCAACGCCGGAAAACUCACCGGGGGCGACAGCAAUAUGUAGGUCAAGCUAAAGACUUUACCAGAGAGGAGGUGCAUGGCCGUCGUCAGUUCGUACUGUGAAGCAUCCUGUUAAGUCAGGCAACGAGCGAGACCCGUGCCCACUGUUGCCAGCAUAUCCUUUGGGAUGAUGGGUACUCUGUGGGGACCGCCGAUGCUAAAUCGGAGGAAGGUGCGGGCUACGGUAGGUCAGUAUGCCCCGAAUCUCCCGGGCUACACGCGGGCUACAAUGACUGGGACAAUGGGCUCCUACCCCGAGAGGGGAUGGUAAUCUCAUAAACCCAGCUCGUAGUUCGGAUCGAGGGCUGUAACCCGCCCUCGUGAAUGCUGGAAUCCGUA